GCGAGCUUAACCGUAUAGGGUAGGCGUAGCGAAAGCGAGUCUUAAUAGGGCGUUUAGUCGCUGGGUAUAGACCCGAAACCGGGCGAUCUAUCCAUGAGCAGGUUGAAGGUUAGGUAACACUGACUGGAGGACCGAACCCACUCCCGUUGAAAAGGUAGGGGAUGACUUGUGGAUCGGAGUGAAAGGCUAAUCAAGCUCGGAGAUAGCUGGUUCUCCUCGAAAGCUAUUUAGGUAGCGCCUCAUGUAUCACUCUGGGGGGUAGAGCACUGUUUCGGCUAGGGGGUCAUCCCGACUUACCAAACCGAUGCAAACUCCGAAUACCCAGAAGUGCCGAGCAUGGGAGACACACGGCGGGUGCUAACGUCCGUCGUGAAAAGGGAAACAACCCAGACCGCCAGCUAAGGUCCCAAAGUUGUGGUUAAGUGGUAAACGAUGUGGGAAGGCUUAGACAGCUAGGAGGUUGGCUUAGAAGCAGCCACCCUUUAAAGAAAGCGUAAUAGCUCACUAGUCGAGUCGGCCUGCGCGGAAGAUGUAACGGGGCUCAAACCACACACCGAAGCUGCGGGUGUCACGUAAGUGACGCGGUAGAGGAGCGUUCUGUAAGCCUGUGAAGGUGAGUUGAGAAGCUUGCUGGAGGUAUCAGAAGUGCGAAUGCUGACAUGAGUAACGACAAUGGGUGUGAAAAACAUCCACGCCGAAAGACCAAGGGUUCCUGCGCAACGUUAAUCGACGCAGGGUUAGUCGGUUCCUAAGGCGAGGCUGAAAAGCGUAGUCGAUGGGAAACAGGUUAAUAUUCCUGUACUUCUGGUUACUGCGAUGGAGGGACGGAGAAGGCUAGGCCAGCUUGGCGUUGGUUGUCCAAGUUUAAGGUGGUAGGCUGAAAUCUUAGGUAAAUCCGGGGUUUCAAGGCCGAGAGCUGAUGACGAGUCGUCUUUUAGAUGACGAAGUGGUUGAUGCCAUGCUUCCAAGAAAAGCUUCUAAGCUUCAGGUAACCAGGAACCGUACCCCAAACCGACACAGGUGGUCGGGUAGAGAAUACCAAGGCGCUUGAGAGAACUCGGGUGAAGGAACUAGGCAAAAUGGCACCGUAACUUCGGGAGAAGGUGCGCCGGCUAGGGUGAAGGAUUUACUCCGUAAGCUCUGGCUGGUCGAAGAUACCAGGCCGCUGCGACUGUUUAUUAAAAACACAGCACUCUGCAAACACGAAAGUGGACGUAUAGGGUGUGACGCCUGCCCGGUGCCGGAAGGUUAAUUGAUGGGGUUAGCGCAAGCGAAGCUCUUGAUCGAAGCCCCGGUAAACGGCGGCCGUAACUAUAACGGUCCUAAGGUAGCGAAAUUCCUUGUCGGGUAAGUUCCGACCUGCACGAAUGGCGUAACGAUGGCGGCGCUGUCUCCACCCGAGACUCAGUGAAAUUGAAAUCGCUGUGAAGAUGCAGUGUAUCCGCGGCUAGACGGAAAGACCCCGUGAACCUUUACUGUAGCUUUGCACUGGACUUUGAGCCUGCUUGUGUAGGAUAGGUGGGAGGCUUUGAAGCGUGGACGCCAGUUCGCGUGGAGCCAUCCUUGAAAUACCACCCUGGCAUGCUUGAGGUUCUAACUCUGGUCCGUAAUCCGGAUCGAGGACAGUGUAUGGUGGGCAGUUUGACUGGGGCGGUCUCCUCCUAAAGAGUAACGGAGGAGUACGAAGGUGCGCUCAGACCGGUCGGAAAUCGGUCGCAGAGUAUAAAGGCAAAAGCGCGCUUGACUGCGAGACAGACACGUCGAGCAGGUACGAAAGUAGGUCUUAGUGAUCCGGUGGUUCUGUAUGGAAGGGCCAUCGCUCAACGGAUAAAAGGUACUCCGGGGAUAACAGGCUGAUACCGCCCAAGAGUUCAUAUCGACGGCGGUGUUUGGCACCUCGAUGUCGGCUCAUCACAUCCUGGGGCUGAAGCCGGUCCCAAGGGUAUGGCUGUUCGCCAUUUAAAGUGGUACGCGAGCUGGGUUUAGAACGUCGUGAGACAGUUCGGUCCCUAUCUGCCGUGGACGUUUGAGAUUUGAGAGGGGCUGCUCCUAGUACGAGAGGACCGGAGUGGACGAACCUCUGGUGUUCCGGUUGUCACGCCAGUGGCAUUG
rnacentral:rRNA from 1 species